UACGGAGGGUGCAAGCGUUAUCCGGAUUCACUGGGUUUAAAGGGUGCGUAGGUGGGCUGGUAAGUCAGUGGUGAAAUCUCCAGGCUUAACUUGGAAACUGCCAUUGAUACUAUCAGUCUCGAAUACCGUGGAGGUCAGCGGAAUAUGUCAUGUAGCGGUGAAAUGCUUAGAUAUGACAUAGAACACCAAUUGCGAAGGCAGCUGGCUACACGAAUAUUGACACUGAUGCACGAAAGCGUGGGGAUCAAACAGG
rnacentral:rRNA from 1 species